GAAAGAAAAGAGAGGAAGAUGGAGGUGUGGGAUGAAGAAGGGUGGUUUUAUUUUGUGUUAGUGUUUUGGAUGGUGGUGGUGGUUGGCGUUGGCAAGGCCGACGAGGAAGCACCAAAUAUUAUCGAAGAAACAGAGGAAGAGGGAAGUGGCGUUUGUUGUGACAACGUGCAAACAUGAGGAUGGGGAGACGAUUGUGAAGGCUUUCUAGCCAUAUCACCGAACUAAGCUGAUUUAAGCGGUUGUCGCAAAGAAGGAAUCAGGAUGAAAUUCGAAUCGUAGAAGGAGGAUAUGGCUUCGGGAUAUAGUAGGUAUUAACAGAAAAGAUGGAAAAAUUUCAGAAAACGGAAGGAAGAAGAAGAAGCGCAUGCACUACACGCAAGCGCGUGAGGGCCGCGACUGGGUGUGCGACUGGGCGUGCUCAUGGCGCGUGGGACAGACACACCGAGGAUGUGAGGGCGCGUGAGGGCGCGUGAAGCAUCAUUUCGGUUCCCGGUCUAAUUGGAAGGAAUUGUGUUGAAAUACCCUAUUAAAUGUACAAUCAAGAGAGAAAGGGAUUCGGAACCAGGUAAGUAGCAUAU